rnacentral:sRNA from 2 species
GAUUUCAUGAGCCGUGCAGAUUUCGCAAUCACCUAAUUCCAGGAUUCUGCAGGCAUUUUCUUUAUCUCCCACGUGUUACUCUAUAUACGGAGCCUUCGUCGAAUCGGUUGUUGCCAUUUGUUAGUCAUGGUGGAGCUUGAGGCAUGGGCAUUUAUUGGACCGAAUGUAACACAAGGAGGGUAUCAGUGAUGCUGCACAUCUGCACAGUUUACUCCCCAUUCGUUGUCACUUGAGACGGACGCGCUAUGUGCAGUAGUGUAUCAUGUGGAGAGGCUCGAGAGACCCUGGAAGAUUAGGACAAUUCUUUUCAACAAUAGGGUUGAUGUGCAUGAUCGAUGACGUUGGAUGAAAUCUGAUGGUAUUCAGUAUUGGAUAACAAAGUAAUUGAAACAUCAAAAUAGAGUUGAUUUGACUCAAAGAUGAUACAAGACAAGUCUCAUUCUCUACACAGCUCAUUCUCUCUAUUCAGUUGCCAA